rnacentral:rRNA from 1 species
GAUGAACGCUGGCGGCGUGCCUAAUACAUGCAAGUCGAGCGAACAGACGAGGAGCCUGCUCCUCUGACGUUAGCGGCGGACGGGUGAGUAACACGUGGAUAACCUACCUAUAAGACUGGGAUAACUUCGGGAAACCGGAGCUAAUACCGGAUAAUAUAUUGAACCGCAUGGUUCAAUAGUGAAAGACGGUUUUGCUGUCACUUAUAGAUGGAUCCGCGCCGCAUUAGCUAGUUGGUAAGGUAACGGCUUACCAAGGCAACGAUGCGUAGCCGACCUGAGAGGGUGAUCGGCCACACUGGAACUGAGACACGGUCCAGACUCCUACGGGAGGCAGCAGUAGGGAAUCUUCCGCAAUGGGCGAAAGCUUGACGGAGCAACGCCGCGUGAGUGAUGAAGGUCUUCGGAUCGUAAAACUCUGUUAUUAGGGAAGAACAAAUGUGUAAGUAACUAUGCACGUCUUGACGGUACCUAAGCAGAAAGCCACGGCUAACUACGUG